ensembl:lncRNA TMEM72-AS1 TMEM72 antisense RNA 1
GCCCCGAGCACGCCCCUCACUCCGCACCGGCCAAUGGCACCGCCCCGUCCGCCCCGCUCUGGGAACGCCGGGAUUCUUCUGGACAAGGAUGUGGUCAUAGAGGUCACAGGCUGAGAAUCAAUGGAGACACGUGGUGCUCAUCUGCUUAUGAGGAAGAUGCCACUUUCUUGCUUGGUCCACUGAUGGCUCCAGCAGAUGUGACAUAGACUGGAAGUGAUGGACCCAGACAACAAUCAGAACCAAAGCACCAGAUGAGCCACCUCAGCCACGUGAGCCAUGCCAGCCACCCUACCUGUGACCCCAUCUGUGGCCCCAGUUAUCAUGGAGUAGAGCCCUUUCUCUGUCUACAAAACCAACUUCCUCGCCCAGCUCAUGGGAACACUUAUUCUGUUGUAUAGAAUGAAGUGUUGCUUGAUUCUAGAAUCAUGCCAUUAAGAACAUUCAUGAUUCAUGAGAGGAGAUCAAAAUAUCAACAUAAACAGGAGUUUGAAAGAAGUUGAUUUCAACCCUUGUGGAUGACUAUGAGAGAUUCAAGGCUUCAGUGGAGAAUGCACCUACAGAUAUGGUGGAAACAGCAAAAGAAAUAGAAUCAGAAGUGGAGCCUGAAGAUUAAACUGAAUUGCUGCAAUCUCAUGAUAAAACUUGAACAGAUGAGGAGUUGCUUCUUACAGCAACCACUGCCCUGAUUAAUCAACAGCCGUCAACAUGUCAACAUCAAGCCUAGACCCUCCACCAGAAAAAGAUUACAAGUCUCCGAAGGCUCGGAUAAUCAUUAGUAUUUCUCAGCAAUGAAGUAUUUUUGAAUUAGGGUCUGUGGAUCAACACUGUCUCCCUGGCCUCUACCCAGCGCGCAGGACCCCUUAGCAGAGCAGGAGAACUCAGGUUGGAACUCAUUAUUGCAUGGUGCUUGUCUUGCCAUCUGUCCCCAUAAUGCCUUAAGUGACAAUGACAUAGGCAUCUGACAAUGUAUGUGGCCAUCACUUUUUAUCAUUUUAAGAUAUAUGGGCCUUCUUUUUCCAACUCUUUUCCCCCGCCAGACAGCCAGGAGCCCAGAGAAGGGUUGUGUUGUGUCCUUUACUGAGCCCCACAGGCCUGUGUGAGCCAGGGGCUUGGCAUGCCUGGGAAUAAGAGCGCCAGCCUUUGGCCUUCCCGCAGCCUCUCCUUGGGGCCUUUAGGGUCCCCACAGGCCCUCCCCUCCCCUCUGCAUUUUCCAGGAUCCAGCCAGCUGCCGGCACACUUUCGUCCUCCUCCGCACACGAGGAUCCCCAGGCCCAGCGGUGUUAGCCCAGAGAGGAGCGGCGUUUGGGAUGUGAUCCACAGCUGAUCCCUCGUGGCCCCUCCUCUCCCGAAUCCUGAAACAUGAGGAGGCCCUUCAGCUGCUGGCUCGGAGUCCGACUAUGGGAACUUUCUCCGGUCUACGGGGGCAGCAAGGGUCUCGCCUCAGGGACUUGGUUUAUUUAUCUAGCUGGACUCCAUCCCUUAAUAUCCUACUUACAGAGGAAGAGGCUUUAGCAGCUAAAUGCAGCCCCAUCCCCUCCUGUGGAGACUGUGAGCAGAAAAAGAACAGAUAUUUACAGAGGCCCGAGCCCCCCUUGUUGUUUUCUGCAAGGCUGUCGAGCUGGUGGAGCUUCAGGAUCCUGGUCAGGAACCCCGAACCCAGCGCUGGAGGCCCUGAAGAUCAGGGCACCCGACCCUCUUCCCAGCCGCCAAAGGCCUGUGUUGGUCUGAUUGUGGAUUCCAAGCUCUAAUUUCCAUCCAUCCUCCCAAUCCGAAUUCCCUUUGCAGACAUAAACACCAUCAGCAAUGUAGAGAAUGUGUUUCCUCAUCUUUGAAUAUUAACACUCAUCUGUUUAAUUGAGCUACUUUUUACAUACAUGUAAGAUGUGCUGCAAUUGCAAAAGAAACAUGUGCUUCGUGUUCUAUAAGCCAUAUCUUCCGCAAGACCUGCCAUCAAAUGAUUGCUCAAACAUUUGUUGAAUGGGAUGAGCAAUGGAGGUUCAGACAGGUGCCCUGACCUACCCAGGCUGGAGGGUAGGGAGCUAGAAAUUCAUACAACCAUGCCUUGUUCUACUUGUUUUGUGAAAGAAUCAUGUGACCAGUGACAAAGAGGCUGGGCAGCUGGGUCAGGCAGCAGGGACAGCGACUGAGCUGGGGGGACUACAGUGCUGUGCUCCUCUGCACCCGUGCUGGGAUGUCUGAGGCCAAGCUGACACUGGCCCCCCACAAUCCCUUGGGGCUGCUCCUCCUCAGGGAGUGGCUCUCCGGGUUUCCUGCUUGACUCCUGCUGCUCUUGUGUUGAAGGGCCGUCUCUGGGCAGCUCCCCCUGGCCCCUGGCCAGAGAGCCAGGCCCUGUCAGGCACGCACAUGGAGGAUGAGGGAGGUGCAGUUGUUUUCACAGGUGCAGACUCUAGAGGGACCCCACGUGGACUCUGUGGCUUCUGCCCCGACGCACUCGCGGGAGGACACAGCUCUGCCCGGAAGGGAGAGUGCUGAGCUGGGUCCCUGCUGCUCAUCUCUGUGGCAUCACCCUGUCAGUCCUUCCCUGUCACACAUAUGUUCCGCAAGACCUGCCGUCAAAUAUUUGCUCAGUCAAACAUUUGUUGAAUGGGAUGAGCCAUGGAGGUUCAGACAGAUGCCGUGACCUGAAGUGUCAAAUGAAGGGAUGCGUGUGUGAUGGCCUUCACCAUUUAUAU